AUGAAAUGGAAUUAAUUUGCCUCAUAACUACAACUCACUUGAAUAAAGAUUUUCAAUAAAUGUGUAAUUUAGUACUGCUAACUAACCGAGGGCGCCAUUUUUUCGAUUCGGUCGGUUGAAUUCAUCAGUCUGGCCAGCUCUUCACACAGUAAAGGGUCGCUGGGGGGCUGGAGCCAAUCCCAGGCGCAAGGCGGGGUACACCCUGGACAGGUAUUUGGUGACCUCCAGUUGAGAUCUCUGCUUCGUACCUUAGGCCAUGUAGUAAAUGGUGAGUAAUAUACAAAUGUUUUCAUUUUAUUUGAUAUCAGUGUUUCCCAUACGUUCAUUUAUUUGUGGUGGCCCUCCACAAUAUCAACGCUGACGGCCACAUAUAGAUUUUCGAUUUUUUAUUUUAAAUCGUAUUGGGUUGCAGAGCGCCAUAGCGCAUUUGCACAGCACAUCCUCUUGCUCAUCCCUCUCUCUCGCUCACCUGUCCCUCUCUUUCUGUCUCUCCCUCCCUCUCCCUCAUGAACACAGCUGCACAAAUCUCAACACAACGCUGUCAAUGUCGGAGACUCAGCUUAAAAAAAAAACAAACAGUUAUUAGCAAGCAUGUAAAGAGCCUAGCUAAUAAGGAGAGCUAUGUUAAUGUUAGAAUGCAGCUGGACUUUCGAGGCUAGUACGCUGUAUAUAGCUGAUAGUCAGCGUCAACUGCACUGUCAUUCUGUGGGAAACACUGGAGAUGUUUAAAGUGGAUUGUCAAGACUUUUAUAAGAUCCUCGGUAUUUUCUUGCUGCAAUCUUAGGUAAUCCUGCUGCCAUGAAGGUUAUAAGGUGCAGUGUUUGUUGUCACAGACCUCAAAUUCUACUGAGUCUGCCUGUAGUUUUGUUUUGACAUUUAUGCAGCAUUUUGGUUAUGUUUGGUAAUGAAGGUACUAAAGAAAUGUUGUGUAUAUGAUGAAAUUUUUAAGGACUUUCAACUCCAUGACUCAACUCUUCUUAUUCCCCCCUGAUUUAGGAUGAUGAUAUUGAUGUUUGGCGGGAAUGCAUACUCAAGGGACUGUGUGUGUACCUCAAUGAAGACCCGGAAAUAUGAGCGAGAGAAUACACUGAGUAUAAUUAUUAGGGUUCAGUACUUUUGAGAUUGACAUCACCUCUACAGUACCAUUAAUGUCACCAUCGAUCUCCUUACUUACUUUGUACAUACUGUUGUUUUUGUAAGCAGUGUUUUCAUCAAUCUGAUCACCUCAGUAUUUUCAGAAAGCGAGCUAGCUUAGCUAUUCAGCAAGCCUGUCGGCUACUAAAAUGAAGAAAAGCAGUAUGGCUUAUGAGUGCUGUCUGCUGUAUGGAGUUUUGCUCAGUCUCUGUGUAAGUUCUCACUCAAACUGAUGCUGAGAAAAGGGCAAAAUGGGCAGAUGGGCAGAUAACAUUAGGAAGGAGACAUUCACCAUCACCAGUCGGUCCAGGUAUUUUGGACACGUGAGAACAGCCGAGAACAGACACCUGCCGGGGGCUCAUGCAGCCUGUUGUUACUCAACA